rnacentral:lncRNA from 1 species
CUCUAUUAGAGUUAUAAUCAAACUUUGUAUAUAAAAUUUAUAGAAUUCCAAGAAUUUGAAAAGGAAAAGUAAAUUACUUACCUUUAAGGUAUACCAGAUCUAUUUUCAAUGUUUUCUCCUUUCUUUCUUUCCUUUCUUUCUUUCUCUUUUCAAUCUUUUUCGUUCUUUCUCCUUUGUCUCAUUGUUCUGUUUCCGUUUCUUUUCCUUUUUCCGUUUGUCCCUUUUUUUUUUUCUUUCUUUUUCUUUUCCUUCUUUAUUCAUUCUUUCUUUGAAGCAAAACC